CAUUUUUCAUAAAAUUCAAUCAUAACAACCUUCAUAUAGGAACAAAUACAAAAAUCCAGAGUCUAUGAUUGUUUAGAUCCACAUUUCCUGUUUUCCCAUGGAUUAUGAGGGAUAUGGUAAGCAGCAACAUAUUUUCCAUAUUAUUACAAUGGCAUCAACUGAAUAAGAGAAUGAUACAGGAUACUUCUACUUCCCAAAGUAACCAGGUCUUAGCCACCAAUAUGUAUCAUAGGUCUAUUUGCUGUUUUUGCAAUGUCAAACAUUCCAGCAUGUGAAGCUUUCUUCCUCUUGACCGCUGCUCCAAUUAUUUCCCUAAGCUCAAGUUCAUCAGCACCACGUCGAAGGGGAUCUCUUAAGCUAACCUCUGAAGGACCAAAGAGGCAUACUUUAAAGUUUCCAUUGGCUAAAAGUCGCAAUCUAUUGCAACCAGCACAAAAAUGCUCAGUCAUUGAUGUGAUGAAAGAAACAGUACCAAGAUGCCCAUCUAUCUUGAAGUUCUUAGCUGUAUCUGUUAGGUGAUCCUGAAGUCUCUUUAGUUCUGUAAACUUCUUUCCCACUAUAUCCAACAUNUAUAUCCAACAUUUCUGAGUAGGGAACCAGUUUCUUGACAUUCCAGACAUUUCCAUCAAAAGGCAUGAACUCAAUGAACCGAAUAUUAAUUGGUUUGUCACGCGUCAACUCUAUAAAAUCAC
rnacentral:misc_RNA from 1 species